AGUGAACGCUGGCGGCGUGCUUAACACAUGCAAGUCGAACGAGAACGGAAUAUAGCUUGCUAUAUUUGUCAGCUAAGUGGCGCACGGGUGAGUAAUGUAUAGAUAACCUGCCCUUAAGAAAGGAAUAACAGUUGGAAACGACUGCUAAUGCCCUAUAUGCCUUUAAUACAUAAGUAUGCAAGGGAAACGCUUUAGUGCUUAAGGAUGGGUCUGUAUGGUAUCAGCUUGUUGGUGAGGUAAUGGCUCACCAAGGCUAUGACGCCUAACUGGUUUGAGAGGAUGAUCAGGCACACUGGAACUGAGAGACGGUCCAGACUCAUACGGGAGGCAGCAGUGGGGAAUAUUGCACAAUGGACGAAAGUCUGAUGCAGCAACGCCGCGUGGAGGAUGACACAUUUCGGUGCGUAAACUCCUUUUAUAUAGGAAGAUAAUGACGGUACUAUAUGAAUAAGCACCGGCUAACUCCGUGCCAGCAGCCGCCGUAA
rnacentral:rRNA from 1 species